GCCGGGCACGGUGGUGCAUGCCUGUAGUCCCAGCUACUUGGGAGGCUGAGGUGGGAGGAUUGCUUGAGCCCAGGAGUUCUGGGCUGUAGUGCACUAUGCCAAUUCGGUGUUCGCACUAAGUUCGGCAUCAAUAUGGUACCUCCCGGGAGUGGGGAACCACCAGGUUUCCUAAGGAGGGGUAAACCAGCCCAGGUCAGAAACGGAGCAGGUCAAAACUCCCGUGCUGAUCAGUAGUGGGAUCGCACCUGUGAAUAGCCACUGCACUCCAGCCUGGGCAACAUAGCAAGACCUCGUCUCA
rnacentral:SRP_RNA from 1 species